rnacentral:rRNA from 1 species
UACGAAGGGGGCUAGCGUUGCUCGGAAUCACUGGGCGUAAAGCGCACGUAGGCGGCUUUUUAAGUCAGGGGUGAAAUCCUGGAGCUCAACUCCAGAACUGCCUUUGAUACUGGAAAGCUCGAGUCCGGAAGAGGUGAGUGGAACUGCGAGUGUGGAGGUGAAAUUCGUAGAUAUUCGCAAGAACACCAGUGGCGAAGGCGGCUCACUGGUCCGGUACUGACGCUGAGGUGCGAAAGCGUGGGGAGCAAACAGG